UCAAGAAACUUUUACAUCAUUUAUCCCAUUGGUGGCAAGCUCCCUUUAAGCAAACAAGUAUAUUUAGAAAGUAAUCUCGUUGUCUCCUGUAGUAGACAAUAAGAUAGCUAGUUAGCCAUCUGCGCUAGCUAGUUAGCCAUCAGCGCUAACUCCGUGCUCUGCUUGUAUUUCGUGCUGCUGUUUCUAACGUUUAGCUCUCAGAAGCUAAUACUUCAGUCAGCAUGACGAACUAAGCUAGUGGUCUUACAGGUUCAUUUUUUUCACAAGUUACAAUGUCGUGUUUUUCAUGUACUUAGGGUGAGUGUUUAUUUCUGUUCAAGAAUCCUUUCCACGUGCAAAGCCUACUCCACCUCCGUCAUGGAGCCCCGAGCUCCCCUGCCUCCUCUCCAGCACCAGCUUCGACACCACUACCAGCUCGGACACCGACACUGUCAACAUCAACCUACAGCACGUCACAGCAACGUCUUAUCACUGUGCACCGACCAAACAGUAAACUAUCAGGACGGCGGUACCUUUAUGAUCCUUGAGGCUGCGGGUUUCCAAGGCACCAGUGGAACCAGUGUCUGAUUCCACGUCAUCCACAGAUGGACGCUCCGACACGUCAGACGGUGUGGUUUCGUCUUGGUCCGGGUGAUGUCCUGCCCCGUAAUGGUUGCCAUGCAUGGCUGCAUCCAUGGCUGCAGCGUAGCCGCUUGAUAUUGCACAGUUUUCCUCUGAUAGUGGAACCUGAUGAGUGAGUGAAGCGGAGUAUAUGAAUAUAUGUUAGUAUUUAAUGAAACUCCAAGCUAAACAACACUCCUUGAGAUCAACAUUUUUCUGACUAUUACGCUAAAAAUACAGUUUACUCUUAGAGGGUGACAAUAGUCAGCCUCCUUAGAUUUCAUUAUAAUGAGACCUGAAUGUUGCACCGAUUAGUGUGUCAAGUGCGCUGACUUGCACUCAGUAUGUUUCUACAGAUUUCGAGGCAAAAAUGAGGUCAGAAGAUUCUCAUUCUGCUACAAAGUGGUCCAGAGGGGGGCUGUGGACUAAAUUUAGAUCACACUAAUUUUGCCUGGCUCUAUGUCAUUGUAUUUUAGAUACCUAGUGGUAGUUGAUGCCUUAUUGCUCAUAAAAUCAUAGCAAAGUCUGAAUAUUUUUUUAUCAUUUGUGGCUGUGUAAAUAACUGAUGUACUGUCACUGAAAAUUAAGUUUUCAAAUCAAAGUAUUUGCACUUAAUAAAAGACAACCCAUUGUAUAUGUACAAAGUAGGGAGGAACGGUCCAGUUUUAGCAGUUAUGGUAUAAAUUCUACAAGACACAGAGUCCGUUCUCUGACCUUUGACACACCCGAGAUGAUUAGCGUGCUUCUUUUUGUCGGAGUCUUCCGAACUACUUUGGACUCUGUCAGCUGCCGGAUGGCGGUCUCUGCAACAGGAUCCAGGCCAUUAGACAGGCGGCUGCUCUCUGAGCAACAAAAACAUAAAUAUGUAAAUAAGAACUAUACUACUAAACUGAGAUAUAGUUUGUCAAACACAUACACAUGCAGAUCCUUAUGAAAACUCUCUAUUGUAUUCAUCAUGCUUCUUUUGUUCUUUGCUUUGCGUAAGCUAGUAUUUUCCCUGUGUGAACCUGUUGCAGAGAUACGUGAGGAACUUGCACAGACCCAUGAUGAGUACAGAAAAGAGCAUUCCUCUCAACUCAUGUUACACUGCUGCUUGUUGCUUGUCCUACUUUGCAUCUCUUAUGUAAAACAAUGUCUGUGUUUCAGUCUACAACUCACUGCUGGGGUUUGGGCUGCUGCUGCCUCUGCCGUCAGACAGGAUAGUGGGUUUCUUCUCAACCACCUCCACUUUGGAUGGAGAACGCAUAGGGGAAUCACCUGAAAGACAGCACAGCUAUUAAAUUCCAUUGUUAAGAUUA